rnacentral:rRNA from 1 species
UACGAAGGGGGCUAGCGUUGCUCGGAAUCACUGGGCGUAAAGGGUGCGUAGGCGGGUCUUUAAGUCAGGGGUGAAAUCCUGGAGCUCAACUCCAGAACUGCCUUUGAUACUGAGGAUCUUGAGUUCGGGAGAGGUGAGUGGAACUGCGAGUGUCGAGGUGAAAUUCGUAGAUAUUCGCAAGAACACCAGUGGCGAAGGCGGCUCACUGGCCCGAUACUGACGCUGAGGCACGAAAGCGUGGGGAGCAAACAGGGA